rnacentral:piRNA from 1 species
AUUCCACCCAAGGUCCAUAUU